CAAUAGACCUGCCUUGGUCCUGCCCAGACCCUGGCUCUGGCCCUACCUCUGCCCUGGCCAUACCCUUGCCCUGGCCUGGACCCCGGUCCUGGUCCUUGUCCUGCCCCAGCCGUGGCCCUGGCCCUGCCCUGCCUGUGCCCUGUUCUAUCCUGGGCUGGCCCUGCCAUGGCCUGGUCUUGCCAUUGCCCUGCCCUAGCUUGCCCUGCUUGUGCCCUAGAUCUGCCCCGCUUGUGCCCUAGAUCUGCCCCGGCCUUUGCCCCAUCUUGGUUCUAGCCUUGACUCAGCCCUGGACCUUCCCUGACCUUGCCUCAGCCCUGGCACUACCCUGGCAUUGCCUUGGCAUUUGCCCUACUCUCUCUAUGGCCUGGCUGUGGUCCUGCCCUGCUCUGCUCUUGUUCUGUCCUGGCACAGCCCUGGCCCUGGCCCUGGCCCUGGCCCUGCCGUAUCACUGGCUCUGGUCCUGCCCUUAUGCAGACCUGACCCUGCCACUGCCUUGGCUUUGGCCUGGACCUUGGCCAUACAGUGACCCUGCCAUGACAUUUUCCUGGUCCUGGCCUGGAACCUGGCCCUGCCAAGGACUCGCCCUGGCUCUGUCAUGGCCCUGGCCCGUUCCUGGAUUUGGAUGUGUCCUGUCCCUUAUUUGCCCCGGCCCUUCCCUGGCUCUGCCAUACCCCUUCUCUGGGGUAGGGCCAGGGUCAGGACCA
rnacentral:lncRNA from 1 species